rnacentral:rRNA from 1 species
CAGUCGCCGCGGGAAUACGAAGGGUGCAAGCGUUAAUCGGAAUUACUGGGCGUAAAGCGUGCGUAGGCGGUGAGUUAAGUCUGCUGUGAAAUCCCCGGGCUCAACCUGGGAAUGGCAGUGGAUACUGGCUCGUUAGAGUGUGUCAGAGGAUGGUGGAAUUCCCGGUGUAGCGGUGAAAUGCGUAGAGAUCGGGAGGAACAUCAGUGGCGAAGGCGGCCAUCUGGGACAACACUGACGCUGAGGCACGAAAGCGUGGGGAGCAAACAGGAUUAGAUACCCCAGUAGUCCCUGUCUCUUAUAC